rnacentral:rRNA from 1 species
GACGUAGGGUGCGAGCGGUGUCCGGAUUUAUUGGGCGUAAAGAGCUCGUAGGCGGCUCGUCGCGUCGACCGUGAAAACCCGCAGCUUAACUGCGGGCUUGCGGUUGAUACGGGCGGGCUAGAGUUCGGUAGGGGAGACUGGAAUUCCUGGUGUAGCGGUGAAAUGCGCAGAUAUCAGGAGGAACACCGGUGGCGAAGGCGGGUCUCUGGACGGCAACUGACGCUGAGGCACGAAAGCGUGGGGAGCAAACAGG